CGAGGUGGAGCACGGCGGUCUGCGCAGCGCGCUGAUGACGCGAAGAACCAGGUUCAACUCCUGGCGCCUCGACCA
rnacentral:tRNA from 1 species